CUCUAGCCCUGAUGGGAACGGCAUCCUUUUGUGGCGGGGUUCGCCGCAAAAGAUAGAGUGGACAGCAGGAAAUAGC
rfam:Flavobacterium sp. CF136 PMI10_contig19.19, whole genome shotgun sequence.